rnacentral:misc_RNA from 1 species
GAUGAAGAACGUAGCGAAAUGCGAUAAGUAAUGUGAAUUGCAGAAUUCAGUGAAUCAUCGAAUCUUUGAACGCAUCUUGCGCUCCUUGGUAUUCUGAGGAGCAUGCCUGUUUGAAUGUCAUUAAAUUCUCAACUACACUGACUUUGAAUUGGUGUGGCUUGGAUUUGGGGGGAAAAUUGUUGUGGGCUUUUUGUAUAGUCUGCUCCCCUGAAAUUGAUUAGCGGUACCUUUGUGGAACUGUCUACAGAUGUGAUAAUUAUCUACAUCUUAGACAUCUGCUGGAAUGCUGCUUUCUAAACCUUACUUGUAUUGACAAUCUUGACCUCAAAUCAGGUAGGACUACCCGCUGAACUUAAGCAUAUCAAUAAGCGGAGGA